rnacentral:ncRNA from 1 species
UAAGUAUUCCGCCUGGGGAGUACGGUCGCAAGAUUAAAACUCAAAGGAAUUGACGGGGACCCGCACAAGCAGCGGAGCAUGUGGUUUAAUUCGAAGCAACGCGAAGAACCUUACCUAGACUUGACAUCUCCUGAAUUACUCGUAAUGGAGGAAGCCCUUCGGGGCAGGAAGACAGGUGGUGCAUGGUUGUCGUCAGCUCGUGUCGUGAGAUGUUGGGUUAAUUCCCGCAACGCGCGCAACCCUUAUCGUUAGUUGCUACCAUUAAGUUGAGCACUCUAACGAGACUGCCGCGGUUAACGUGGAGGAAGGUGGGGAUGACGUCAAAUCAUCAUGCCCCUUAUGUCUAGGGCUACACACGUGCUACAAUGGCCGGUACAACGAGAUGCAAACCCGUGAGGGGGAGCCAAACUUCAAAGCCGGUCCCAGUUCGGAUUGUAGGCUGAAACUCGCCUACAUGAAGUCGGAGUUGCUAGUAAUCGCGAAUCAGCAUGUCGCGGUGAAUACGUUCCCGGGUCUUGUACACACCGCCCGUCACACCAUGAGAGCCGGUAACACCCGAAGUCCGUGAGGUAACCUUUAUGGAGCCAGCGGCCGAAGGUGGGAUUGGUGAUUGGGGUGAAGUCGUAACAAGGUAGCCGUAGGAGAACCUGCGGCUGGAUCACCUCCUUU